GAAGUACGAUCGUGCAAAGAACGUUCAAUCGGCAAGGGAAACACGUCAAGUGUAUGUGACUGAGAGGAUGGGAAGGAGGAGGCAGGCAACGUGGUCGGGUGGGUUAGCAAGUUCUACUAAACUAAACACUCGUUUCAAAAAUGACAACGGAUUCUCCAGAGAGCAACGAAGGGCACCUGAGUCGAAAAUGUGUGAGGAUAAGUGGUCGGAA
ensembl:ncRNA T09F3.6 ncRNA